GCCGGCAGCUAGCUCUCUGCAACUCUCACAUGGUUGCCCACUGAAGCUAAGCAGGACUGCGCCCAGUCAGUACCUGGAUGGGAGACCACAUGGGAAAUUUAGGUUACUGAAGUGG
rnacentral:rRNA from 1 species